rnacentral:rRNA from 1 species
UACGUAGGUGGCGAGCGUUAUCCGGAUUUACUGGGUGUAAAGGGUGUGUAGGCGGGAGUGCAAGUCGGAUGUGAAAAUCAUGGGCUCAACCCAUGACCUGCAUUUGAAACUGCGUUUCUUGAGGGUCGGAGAGGUAACCGGAACUCCUGGUGUAGCGGUGAAAUGCGUAGAUAUCAGGAGGAACACCGGUGGCGAAGGCGGGUUACUGGACGAUUACUGACGCUGAGACACGAAAGCGUGGGGAGCAAAC